rnacentral:rRNA from 1 species
ACAUAUCAAUAAGCGGAGGAAAAGAAACCAACAGGGAUUGCCCUAGUAACGGCGAGUGAAGCGGCAACAGCUCAAAUUUGAAAUCUGGCUUCGGCCCGAGUUGUAAUUUGUAGAGGAUGCUUUUGGUGAGGUGCCUUCUGAGUUCCCUGGAACGGGACGCCAGAGAGGGUGAGAGCCCCGUAUAGUCGGCCACCGAUCCUCUGUAAAGCUCCUUCGACGAGUCGAGUAGUUUGGGAAUGCUGCUCAAAAUGGGAGGUAUAUCCCUUCUAAAGCUAAAUAUUGGCCAGAGACCGAUAGCGCACAAGUAGAGUGAUCGAAAGAUGAAAAGCACUUUGAAAAGAGGGUUAAAUAGCACGUGAAAUUGUUGAAAGGGAAGCGCUUGUGACCAGACUUGUGCCGGGCUGAUCAUCCAGUGUUCUCACUGGUGCACUCGACCCGGCUCAGGCCAGCGUCGGUUCUCGCGGGGGGAUAAAAGCUUCGGGAACGUGGCACCUCCGGGUGUGUUAUAGCCCGCUGCUUAAUAUCCUCGCGGGGACCGAGGUUCGCGCUCUGCAAGGACGCUGGCAUAAUGGUCAUCAGCGACCCGUCUUGAAACACGGACCAAGGAGUCGAGGUUUUGCGCGAGUGUUUGGGUGUAAAACCCGCACGCGUAAUGAAAGUGAACGUAGGUGAGAGCUUCGGCGCAUCAUCGACCGAUCCUGAUGUAUUCGGAUGGAUUUGAGUAAGAGCGUAAAGCCUCGGACCCGAAAGAUGGUGAACUAUGCCUGAAUAGGGUGAAGCCAGAGGAAACUCUGGUGGAGGCUCGCAGCGGUUCUGACGUGCAAAUCGAUCGUCAAAUUUGGGCAUGGGGGCGAAAGACUAAUCGAACCAUCUAGUAGCUGGUUACCGC